GAGGGUAUAACUCAGCAGGAGAGUGCAUGCUUAGCAAGCACAAGGUCCUGAGUUCAACACUCAAUACCUCG
rnacentral:tRNA from 1 species